rnacentral:rRNA from 1 species
UACGUAGGGUGCAAGCGUUGUUCGGAUUCAUUGGGCGUAAAGGGUGCGUAGGUGGCAUGGUAAGUCGGAUGUGAAAUCCCGGGGCUCAACCCCGGAACUGCAUUCGAUACUGCUGCGCUAGAGUACUGGAGAGGAGAUUGGAAUUUACGGUGUAGCAGUGAAAUGCGUAGAUAUCGUAAGGAAGACCAGUGGCGAAGGCGGAUCUCUGGACAGUUACUGACACUGAGGCACGAAGGCCAGGGGAGCAAACGGG